UUGGAGGGCAAGUCUGGUGCCAGCAGCCACGGUAAUUCCAGCUCCAAUAGCGUAUAUUAAAGUUGUUGCAGUUAAAAAGCUCGUAGUUGAAUUUCGGGAUCAAUAUAUCGGUCGUGCCAUCGGUACGUACUGGUAUGAUUGGUUUCUCCUUUCUGACGAACCAUGAUAUCAUUAAUUUGGUGUUAUGGGAAGUUAGGACUGUUACUUUGAAAAAAUUAGAGUGUUUAAAGCAGGCUUUAGCUUGAAUACAUUAGCAUGGAAUAAUGAAAUAGGAUGUUCGAACCUAUUUUGUUGGUUUCUAGGAUCAACGUAAUGAUUAAUAGGGAUAGUUGGGGGCAUUAGUAUUCAAUUGUCAGAGGUGAAAUUCUUGGAUUUAUUGAAGACUAACUACUGCGAAAGCAUUUGCCAAGGAUGUUUUCAUUAAUCAAGAACGAAAGUUAGGGGAUCGAAGACGAUCAGAUACCGUCGUAGUCUUAGCCAUAAACUAUGCCGACUAGGGAUCGGAUGAUGUUAAUUUUUAAUGACUCAUUCGGCGCCUUACGGGAAAC
rnacentral:rRNA from 1 species